rnacentral:ncRNA from 2 species
AAUCCUGAUAGAGGAGCUUCUCGGCAUUCCCGACGGACACACGGGACGAAUUGCCCGCCGUCGCGAGGGAAGGCCAGAAGCCGAAGGGACCAGCAAGAAUUCGAUUGCCGCUCCUUGGGACGUCGGAGAACAUCCGGCGGACUGUCACAGUGAUGUGGAGCGCUAUCGUGAUU